AUACGUAGGGCGCAAGCGUUGUCCGGAUUUAUUGGGCGUAAAGGGCUCGUAGGCGGUUUCGUAAGUCGGGUGUGAAAACUCAGGGCUCAACCCUGAGACGCCACUCGAUACUGCGAUGACUUGAGUCCGGUAGGGGAGCAGGGAAUUCCUGGUGUAGCGGUGAAAUGCGCAGAUAUCAGGAGGAACACCAUUAGCGAAGGCGCUGCUCUGGGCCGGUACUGACGCUGAGGAGCGAAAGCAUGGGGAGCAAACAGGAUUAGAAACCCUAGUAGUCC
rnacentral:rRNA from 1 species